CAGAACCGGGGCGCUGGUACCUGCCAAGUUCUCCCUCAGGCCACAGUGUGGGAAGUUUAUCUCCAGGAGAUACCUCACAAGCUGGAAUUAAUGCCACAGUUGAGUGUUGUUCCUUAACUCAUAGUUUUAGCCAUGAGACAAGACAUCCGGUGUUAUUUCAGCAAGUCCAUAUGGUUCUUGAAUACUUUUCCCAAGGCUGUGGGGAGACCAUACCAGAGCACAUAUCCAUCUUGCAGCCCAUGGAGGGCACCACACUGGAGCAGGUGGAUGUUUCCUGAAGGAGCCAUGGCCCAUAGGAAGCCUGCUCUGGAUCAGGGGAAAAGUGUGAGGAGGAAGGGGUGGCAGAGAGGAACAACCAUGCUGUAUGUAGCCUGUCCUCCAGUCUCCCUGUGUUUCUCAGGGCCAGGAAGGUA